rnacentral:rRNA from 1 species
GCCUUCGGGUGGAAGCCGGGAUUACCUAGUGGCGAACGGGUGAGUAACGCGUGAGCAACCUGCCCUUCAGAGGGGGACAACAGCUGGAAACGGCUGCUAAUACCGCAUAUUGCAUAUUUAUCGCAUGGUAGAUAUGUGAAAGAUUUAUCGCUGAAGGAUGGGCUCGCGUCUGAUUAGCUAGUUGGUGGGGUAACGGCCCACCAAGGCAGCGAUCAGUAGCCGGACUGAGAGGUCGAUCGGCCACAUUGGGACUGAGAUACGGCCCAGACUCCUACGGGAGGCAGCAGUGGGGAAUAUUGGGCAAUGGGGGCAACCCUGACCCAGCAACGCCGCGUGAAGGAAGAAGGCUUUCGGGUUGUAAACUUCUUUGACCAGGGAAGAAAGAAAUGACGGUACCUGGAAAACAAGCCACGGCUAACUACGUGCCAGCCGCCGCGGUAAAAC